GAGAUAUUAGUAAAAAUUACAUAACUUUGUCAAAGUUAAGUUAUAGGCUAACCCCUAUAUAUCUCC
rnacentral:tRNA from 1 species